AAUUCAUACUUUUCAAAAGUUCACUCUCCUAUUAUAAUAUAAAUAUAAUAAAUAAGACAGGCCCCACAACAAACACAUUACAUAGUAUCAUAAUUAUAAAUUUAAAGAUAUGUAAAUUUUAAGCAAAUAUAUAACAACUUCAAAAAGUCAAAUAAUAGAGGAUAAGAAAUAGAACUUACUAGAUUAAACACUACAAUCUACUGCUAUAUCCAAUUCCAGGUACAAAUCCAGCAACAAUAUUUAUUACUGAAAUAUAUUUUGAAUGAUCAGUUGAUAGAAUUUCAAAACUUGGAUUCAAUAGGGCUAAAAAGGUAUCAAGAAAUUAAAUUAAUCAUAUGAGUAAGCCUGGGGAGAAAUAAUAAACUACAACUUCAAAUAAAAUACAUAAUAGAACAAAAAUGAAAGCAAACAUAAAGAAAAGGUUCAAGUAUCGUAAUACAAUGCCUUCAACAAAUCAAGAACACUGAAUUGUCACGUUUAUGCAGCAAUCACAACUAUUUAUAUUUGACAAGCAAAUGUUACGGCUGAAGACAACAACAAUAACAACAACAGUAACAACAACAGCACCAGCAGAUGCAAAAUAGCUACAACACCACAUGCAUAGGUAGAUGACAAUGAGAGGUGAGAAUCCCUUAAUUUUACAUAAUAGAAUCAUUUACUAAGAAGCCCUCCUCAUAAUUUGUUAUAGACAAUUCAGGCCAAUAUUUAAAAAAUCAGCUAUCAGAACAUAAAGAUAUAUAAGUUACAGAUUAUCUUUAAAAUUCAUACACUAACACUCAUUUAACUAGAAACAAAAAUUCACACACAGACACAUGAAUAUAAAUCAAAACUACCUAGAAUAAUAAAAAAAAGUAACAACAUUAUGCAAGCACGAUUACAACUCAAAAUAUUUUUAAAGACUAUCUUCUUGGGAAAUUAUUUAGUAAAUUGAUUACCGAAAUAUAUGCAAUACAUGCAAAUACAUUUCAAUUUUUUAGAAAUUAUUUAUUACUUUACAUAAAAGUAGAAUGAAUAGGCAAAAUUAAAUACAUGCAAAUGCAACAAUGACUCACCAGUGGGUGUGAAGCUUCAAUUCACCAUCAAGGCUAGGGUUUCAACUUCGGCAACAACGAUUUAGGUCUUCUUGCACAGUAAGCGAUUGGGUUUCUUUCAGUCAAUAAAGGUACUGUGGCUUUUGUUCUCAUUCCAAUUUGGGUUUCAAUUAGCACUAACUUCAUCCCAGCAAAGGGAGACGAUUCAAUGACAAUGCAACAAAGAGAGACAAUUGAGUGAAGCAACCUGAACGAUUUUGAAAUGAUGGGUGUUUGGGUGUCAUUAGUUAGCUAUGGCUGGCCUUUGAGGGUUUGUUGUAAGUGUGCUAAUUGAUUUUGAGAUUCCACAAUGACGCUUGCAAAUUUUUUGAACACUUGGAAAAAUUUUUGCCUCUUUUCUCACAAAUUUUUCCCCCCAUUACAAAAAG
rnacentral:lncRNA from 1 species